GACGAACGCUGGCGGCGUGCUUAACACAUGCAAGUGGAGCGACGAACCAGGCUUCGGCCUGGGGCAAAGCCGCGAACGGGUGAGUAACACGUGGGUAACCUGCCCCGAUGAUCGGGACAACCCGGGGAAACUCGGGCUAAUACCGAAUGUGCUCGCACCACAUCAGUGGUGCGCGUAAAGGUAGCUUCGGCCUCCGCAUCGGGAUGGGCCCGCGGCCCAUUAGCUUGUUGGUGAGGUAACGGCUCACCAAGGCUGCGAUGGGUAGCUGGUCUGAGAGGACGAUCAGCCACACUGGGACUGAGACACGGCCCAGACUCCUACGGGAGGCAGCAGUGGGGAAUCUUGCGCAAUGCGCGAAAGCGUGACGCAGCAACGCCGCGUGGGGGAAGAAGGCCU
rnacentral:rRNA from 1 species